GCUCCGGCCGCAGCCUGGGGGCACUCGAGCGGCCGUGACCCCGCAGGGAUGUCCGGGUCCCCCGUCCCUGCGUCCUGGGGUUGCGUAGGACACCUUCCGACGUCUCCUAACGCGGGCAUGACCUGGGUUACCCCCGCAGCUAAGACCCAAAGCUCACCGCAGGGUGAAGGGCUGAGCACACGCGGCACCGGGUGGGUGCAGGGGCUGUGCGAGGGCAGAGGCAGACGGGGUCUCCGGCAGAGGCUGAGGGAUGACGUUUCCCUGUUGUUGCAGCCACCUUUCCCCACGAGCGGCCCAGGUCCUCAGAAGGCUGGAGCCGCAUCAAGGACGGAGGACCAUCUUCAGGCACGUCACCGAGAACAACCGGCGGAAGCUGGAGCAGCAGAGGCAGCUCCCCUGCACACGAUGCUGGUACCGCAGCGGAGGAGAAGGUGCCGGAGGCGGCGGCUGUAGCAGCGGCUGUUAGCAAAAGGGGGCUGGGAGGCUUCUCAGCUUCUCAGAUCCACCUAAAAAUACAAAAUAAAGAGCUCUGGGGCUGUUCCCAGCUGGACUGAC